CUACUAAGUUCUACUGUUAUAACUGUUCAUGUCAAAGCCAAGGACAGUCAAGUAGUCAAGACCUAGGGCUAGGGACCAGUAGCCUAGGCCUUGGUCCUAAGGGUCCUAGAGACACUUCACUAGAGUAGAUAUCUAGGAUUUUCUAGGCAGUCCUAGCCAAACCAAAUGAAUUAAAUUAAAUAUCUGAUGUAUUCAUUAUUGUGAUGAUUAAUCAAUCUGAAUCUGGUAUGAUCAGGGUAGAUCAGAUGGUCUAUCUUCUUCAUCUUCUGUGGUUUCCACUGGACCAACUACAGCUCACUCUGCCCCUGUCACUCCCACCCACAACCCUGAUGGCAGUGUGGAUGUUGGCAAUAGAACAGGCUCACUGAGAGGUUUCUUCCUGGGCUUGCCGGGCUACUUCUGACCCAUAAGGACAAUCCUUGGCAAGGCAGCUGCUGUAGAGCUAAAACAGCAAGGUGGCGAUUUUAUUGUUUACCAUGGAGUUGUCUACUUUUCAAAUUUUACUGCCCAAGUUUUGUACAGGCAGACUGAUCCAUCAGCAGUUCCUGAACCAGUAACUGAUAUCUCAAAAAAAAUAUUGCUAUACUGAUGGUGUCUGGUCACCUCAGAGGAAUUAUGCAUUGAAUGCUAUAGAAGAGAAGAAAAAUUCAGAUUUUUAGCAUGAUUUACAAAAUGGUUUUGAUUGUCUUAUGUUAAUGGCUGGUAAAGAACUGAAUCAUGUAGGCUGGAGAUCACUUGAGAGAAAUCAAGAAGUCUCUGAUCUACAUUGUAAGAGAAGAUCAUGUAGUGGUUGCCCAGGGGACUAAGGAGCCUCAAAAUGUUAUUGUUGUCAUUGAUCCAGAAACUAAGUUGCAAUCUGUCUUGGUUUCUGGUGCAGAUUUUUUAUUCAUGUCCUAGAGUAUCUCCAGACGGAUACAAAAUUGCUUGGGAUUUAGUGGACUCAUCCAAACAUGAGAGCAUUUCAAACAAUAAUAUAUCACUAACUUGUUGCUUUGUGUGUGUGUCUCCAUCUAAAUCUUGGGAUAGCACAGACAUUUGGCUAGCUGAGUUGCCACAGUCUGGUCUAGAGAUACUUCCAGGAACACAACAGAAGGUAAGUUUAUUUCCUAGGAUUUUACAAGGACAACCCAAGCUCUAGUAAAUCUCUUGGCAGGGUUUUGUUAAGUUUGGUAAACAUGAACAGAAUAUUUCAAUCAUUUGAAUGGGAUACAAUGUAGAAAAAAUGACAAUUUUGUUCUAGAUAUGUCAUCUAUAUCAUGUUAUAUCGUAUAAAUUACAGCCUUUCCUUUGGAACAGAAUAGAAUUACUUCCUAAAAGUUUCCAGGUGUUAAUCUUGUCAUAUAUGUUAAUUAGAGACUCUGCUAGAUCAUUGAUGUUCUUGGCUGAUUCAGGCAACCCAUGCCUGGCUCUAAUGGCACUAGAAAAGAAUUAGCCCUAUAUAGCAACAUGUCUAGAUAUGUAACAUAUAGCAAUAUUCAUCAUCAUUUAGAAUAUGUAAACCACCGGUGUUGAGAAUACUUUGAUGUCAGUGAAUAAAAGACGUAAUAAUUAAAGCUGUCUCCUGUUUGACCAUAAUAGAAAAUAGUUUAUUUCUUUCCCCCUCCAUCUCUUGUCAUGUUUGACUGAGAACACACGAACAUGAACUCUAAAGGCUUUACUCCUAGCUUGACCAUAAAUGGGCAUCUUUUUUCCAAUCUUUGGUUUGCAGAUGAUAUAGACUUCAUUGGAGAAAAUGCAGACUAGCUUCAAGAUCUUACUUCAAAACUGGAUGCUGCAGCUUGAGCAGUUGGCAUUGAAAUUAGUGCUGAAAAGAGAAAAAUACUAGUU